CCGGAAAUAGGAGCACUCCCCACCCACGGGCGGCUAGCAGCUGUGUGCGGAGUCCGGGAUGAGCGUCUUCGCUGCGGCAGGCGCUGGGCUGCUGUGCGCUGGGCGGCUGUGCGCCGUGCGCGCGGUCCUUCCUUGUCUUUGGAGAGGAAAGUACUUCAGUUCCGGGAAUGAGCCGGCAGAAAACAACCCGGUGACCCCUAUGCUGCGGCAUCUUAUGUACAAAAUCAAGUCUACUGGUCCCAUCACCGUGGCCGAGUACAUGAAGGAGGUCUUGACCAACCCAGCCAAGGGCUAUUAUGUGAACCGUGACAUGCUAGGAGAAAAAGGAGAUUUCAUUACUUCACCUGAAAUAAGUCAGAUCUUUGGGGAGCUCCUAGGGAUAUGGUUCAUCAGUGAAUGGAUAGCCACUGGAAAAAAUGCAGCUUUCCAACUGGUGGAACUGGGCCCAGGCAGGGGUACCCUCUUGGGAGAUAUUUUGAGGGUGUUCAGUCAGCUUGCAUCUGUGCUGAAAAACUGUGACAUUUCAAUACAUCUGGUAGAGGUCAGCCAAAAAUUAAGUGAGAUUCAAGCAUUAACGUUGACUGAAGAGAAGGUCCUAUUAGAGCGAAAUGCUGGAUCCCCAGUAUAUAUGAAAGGUGUCACUAAGUCUGGAAUUCCAAUUUCCUGGUACCGAGAUCUGCAAGAUGUCCCAAAAGAGUACAGCUUUUAUCUUGCACAUGAAUUUUUCGAUGUUCUUCCUGUGCAUAAGUUUCAGAAAACACCACACGGAUGGCGAGAAGUACUCAUUGAUAUUGAUCCACAGGUUUCUGAUAAACUGAGAUUUGUUUUGGCACCUUGUGCUACCCCAGCAGAAGCCUUCAUACAAUGUGAUGAAACAAGGGAUCACGUGGAAGUGUGUCCUGAUGCUGGUGUUAUUAUUCAGGAACUUUCUCAACGCAUUUCACUAACUGGAGGUGCUGCCCUGAUUGCUGAUUAUGGUCAUGAUGGAACUAAGACAGAUACCUUCAGAGGGUUUUGUGGCCACAGGCUUCAUGAUGUCUUAAUUGCCCCGGGAACAGCAGACCUCACAGCUGACGUGGACUUCAGUUACUUGCGCAGGACGUCCCAGGGGAAAGUAGCUUCUCUGGGUCCAGUAAAACAGCAGACAUUUUUAAGAAAUAUGGGCAUUGAUGUCCGGCUGAAGGUUCUUUUAGAUAAAUCAGAUGAGCCAUCACUGAGGCAGCAGUUACUUCAGGGCUAUGAUAUGUUAAUGAAUCCUACGAAGAUGGGAGAAAGAUUUAACUUUUUUGCCUUGAUACCUCAUCAGAGACUUCAUGGUAGAAAUCAUCAGAUGAAUGCAUGUCAGUCAAAACCCUCUCCAUCACCUGUAGCUGGGUUUGGUGAACUUGCUUGGCGGUGAUAUUUCAGUUUGGACUUUUUACUCCCAAGUUGGCCUAAGAAACUAGAAUAAAGGGAACACAUUUUAUAUAUCACAGAUGACAACCUACAAAGAACAACAGUUAUACAGCAAAAUACCAGUCCAUAACAUGAAAUCCUUCCUUAUUGAAGUUAGCUCAAUAAUAACUAAGGAUCCUCUUCCAUGUCAUCUGGAUUGGGAGCCAUAAUGAAGUGCUUUGGGUAUACAAGGUUGUGUGUAUAUGCAUGUAUUUCCCAGCGGGCAUCGUCACUUUCGUGUGUAAUGUAACGUUCACCAAUGCGAGUUUCAAAUUCUCUAAGGUCAAGCCAAGUCUGAUAGUCCUAGGGAAAAAAAAAAGAUUAUGAACCAUAAAAGAAACAAUACUGUCAGCCUUUUUUUUUUUUUGCUCAGCACCCUAGUCAUAAAAUUGACAACCCCUACCUCCUAAAUACUUGCUAUACAAUAAGUUCAUUUGUAAUAUUUUAAGUUAGCAAUGUUAAAGAUAAAUACUUUCUCAAAUUUAGAGUCUCUCAUGAAGGAAGGAACUAGUUUCUAAAAUUAAAAAAGAAAACAUUGCCUCAGGCUUCUGAGGUGACUAAUAAUAACCACUAAAAUAUUUUGUUGGAGAGGCCUACACCUUACUUCUCAAAAUAGGGGAAAGUGCUUAGAAUCUGUUAUCAGGAUAAUUUAAUAACUGCUGAGACUAAAUAUGAUUAUAUUUGUUUUGAAGUUAUUUCUAUCCCUCAUUCUCUUUAAAAUAGUUCUGAAGCUUCUCUCUUUACUCUGAAGUUUGGGGGUAUCUUUUGACAAAUCUAUGCAAUAGCUUUUGGGGGGUUAAGCCAAACAUUUUAAAUGGCAUCUCUGAUCUCUUCAAUGCAAAUACAAACCUUUUAGUGGACAUUUUAAAAAUAAAAUAUAUUUGACAACAUAAUGUGUCAUGCUCACCUUACAAAAAGGUGAAAUGAAUACUAUAAGGCCCUAAGACAUGUAGAAUCUAUUGCUUUUAAGAGUGGUUUCAUUAAGACAAUCACCAUGAACUGCUCAAAUGAGGAUCGCCGAAGAGAGAUACAUUUUUUUUUUUUGCCAAUAGAGAGAUACAUUUUUUU